CCUACGGGAGGCUGCAGUGGGGAAUAUUGCACAAUGGGCGCAAGCCUGAUGCAGCCAUGCCGCGUGUGUGAAGAAGGCCUUCGGGUUGUAAAGCACUUUCGGCGGGGAGGAAGGCGGCGAGGUUAAUAACCUCAUCGAUUGACGUUACCCGCAGAAGAAGCACCGGCUAACUCCGUGCCAGCAGCCGCGGUAAUACGGAGGGUGCAAGCGUUAAUCGGAAUUACUGGGCGUAAAGCGCACGCAGGCGGUCUGUCAAGUCGGAUGUGAAAUCCCCGGGCUCAACCUGGGAACUGCAUUCGAAACUGGCAGGCUAGAGUCUUGUAGAGGGGGGUAGAAUUCCAGGUGUAGCGGUGAAAUGCGUAGAGAUCUGGAGGAAUACCGGUGGCGAAGGCGGCCCCCUGGACAAAGACUGACGCGCAGGUGCGAAAGCGUGGGGAGCAAACAGGAUUAGAUACCCGGGUAGUC
rnacentral:rRNA from 1 species